CUCUGACAAGGAAAUGGACCUUGGCAAACGUGUGUCAGGAGAGGAUGACUUGGAGGUGUCCACCGUGUUUCUUACUGAAGAUGUCUAAAAGUCAAUUGGGGUCAAGGAACAAGCCUCUACUCACAUGCAUGUGGGCAAAUGAAGUCACAGAACAAAUAACCUACCCUGCAUCCAGGCACGGAGUCCAGGGACACCCCCUGCUGCUGCCUAAGAGAAAGUGGCCCAAGAAGCACUGGCCCGGUGCCUGCUGAUGCCAGGAGCCCUCUGCUACUGCCUGACACAAGCAUCCUGCGCUUCCCCCUCCCAGGCCCUCCCCGAAAGCGUGGGCCACAGGUACCACUCCCUAUGCCACUGAGCCCCACAUUUCCCAUCCCCCAAGCCACUCCCACCAGCCCCAGAGCUUUCCUACAUUUAUGAUUUGUCCAAAAAUGUGAUGCCCUUCAGCCCCCAGAAGGUCAUCCUCCAGGCUGUGAUCGUCACACAGGGGGUCCCACAUGGGGUCCUCACAGGCCUUCAACCCAGCACAAAUCGUGGCCUGGUUUGACCUUUGAAAUAUCUCAACAUCUAAAAUUCAG
rnacentral:lncRNA from 1 species